rnacentral:rRNA from 1 species
UGAGGAAUUUUGCGCAAUGGGAGCAAUCCUGACGCAGCAACGCCGCGUGGGUGAUGAAGGCCUUCGGGUCGUAAAGCCCUGUCAGGUGGGAAGAAUGUCCCGGGACUGAACAGGUUUCGGGAGUGACGGUACCACCAGAGGAAGCACCGGCUAACUCCGUGCCAGCAGCCGCGGUAAUACGGAGGGUGCAAGCGUUAUUCGGAAUUACUGGGCGUAAAGCGCGUGUAGGCGGUCCUGCAAGUCUGAUGUGAAAGCCCCUGGCUUAACCCGGGAAGUGCAUUGGAAACUGCAAGUCUUGAGUACUGGAGAGGAUGGGGGAAUUCCCGGUGCAGAGUUGAAAUUCGUAGAGAUCGGGAGGAAUAUCAGUGGCGAAGGCGCCCAUCUGGACGGUAACUGACGCUGAGACGCGAAAGCGUGGGGAGCAAACA